ACAUACACAUGCCAUGCAUGAUCUGGCUUCCUCUCUCCCUUCCAGCGAAAUAGUUUCGUAGAGCCGAAAGGCUGUCUGGGUUCCGGCAGGAACUAGUUUUGGACGGCGAAGCCCUGCCGGAUAGAUGACACAGUAUGUGUGCAACUCUGUAGAGAGAUCGUAGUUUCGGUCUUAGUUCUUGAGUGCCUCCCGAAGGGAUGUCCGAGUGAUCAUUCGGUUUUUGAUGGUCCUCCCGAAGGGCUAUCCAAGAGACCGUUCGAGGGACUGUCCAGCCGCCUCCGGAGGGCUGCCCUGGGGCAGACGAGGGAGUACAUCCUUGCGGUUGCGAGGUUGUAAUUACUAGCUACGGGGAUCUACACCGCCGAUCGUCAUCGACUCUGCUUCUGCUGCGCUAUGAGUCGGUAACGAAAAGAUCGAACCUUGUAUGCAGUCUCCAUAGUUAUCCUGGGCGUGCUCGUAGUACCGAAACUUUUUGUUUUCUGCCGCGUUCCCCAAUAGUGGCAUCAAGAGCCAGGCUAUGCGUAGAUGCAGGUUAUAAUCUAGAAUACAUGAUAUGUAUGGGUGCUGCACAAUAUAAUUUGUAGUAGAUGAGUUCUAUUACUAGAAAUUAUUUGUGCGGGUAGAAGAUGAAAUAUGUUACCCGAUGUUCCUGUUGCUUCCUUUGAAUUUGCAUAGUCCUGAUCUUGAUAGCAUUGUGGAAUCUGACAAAGUUCUCGCAAUCCACGAUCCUUUCAUGCUGCUCCUGAGUAUGUUGAUUGACAGAUCAACGAAGUGCUAACAGUUCUUUGGGUUCCACCAUAGUUGAGAAAGAUGGAUGUUUCGCAGUCGAAAGGGAAAUUUAAAUAUGAUCUGCACGGGGGUCAUGCGUAUGACGAAGUUUAGUAUGGGGCUCGAGAUUUUAUUAUCUCGUGUUUCAUACACCUUGGAAGGUUAAUCUAGCAACUAGAAUUAUCAUACCUGAUGACGAACAUUGGUAGCUGCGGUUUAAGUCAAAACCUUAGAAGCCACGAAAAAUAAAAUUUUGCAUUAACCGAUUAGAGGCGUCUAACUUGGUUUUGCAGGAUGUGCAUG
rnacentral:lncRNA from 1 species